GAGCUGAGAAGGACUCGUGGGUAGAGUUCCUGGGUGGCUGGAGAGAUGGACAGAGCACUGUGAAUGAAGAGUGGGGCACUGUGUCUAAGUCUGUCUAUAUAGUGGACAACAAGAAGGGGAGCUCAGUCUACAGCUGGGAGAUAUGAUCAACGUCAUGCAGAAGACUCCAGAUGGGUUUGUGGAAGGCCACAGGGUACA